UACGUAGGGGGCAAGCGUUGUCCGGAAUCAUUGGGCGUAAAGCGCGUGUAGGCGGCUGGGUAAGUCCGCUCUGAAAGCCCGGGGCUCAACCCCGGGAGGCGGGUGGAUACUGCUCAGCUCGAGUCCGGAAGAGGAGUGUGGAAUUCCUGGUGUAGCGGUGAAAUGCGCAGAUAUCGGGAAGAACACCCGUGGCGAAGGCGGCUCUCUGGGACGGUACUGACGCUGAGACGCGAAAGCGUGGGGAGCGAACAGG
rnacentral:rRNA from 1 species